rnacentral:rRNA from 1 species
AGUGAACGCUGGCGGUAGGCCUAACACAUGCAAGUCGAACGGCAGCACAGUAAGAGCUUGCUCUUACGGGUGGCGAGUGGCGGACGGGUGAGGAAUACAUCGGAAUCUACUUUUUCGUGGGGGAUAACGUAGGGAAACUUACGCUAAUACAGCAUACGACGUACGGGUGAAAGCAGGGGAUAUUCGGACCUUGCGCGAUAGAAUGAGCCGAUGUCGGAUUAGCUAGUUGGGGGGGUAAAGGCCCACCAAGGCGACGAUACGUAGCUGGUCUGAGAGGAUGAUCAGCCACACUGGAACUGAGACACGGUCCAGACUCCUACGGGAGGCAGCAGUGGGGAAUAUUGGACAAUGGGCGCAAGCCUGAUCCAGCCAUACCGCGUGGGUGAAGAAGGCCUUCGGGUUGUAAAGCCCUUUUGUUGGGAAAGAAAAGCAGCAGGUUAAUACCCCGCUGUUCUGACGGUACCCAAAGAAUAAGCACCGGCUAACUUCGUG